CCAGCAAGCCGUUCUAUCGCUCGUUAGCAUUUGCUAGUGAGAGGAAAGUCCGGGCAACACAGAGCAUCUCGCUUCCUAACGGGAAGGCAUUGGGGAUUGAAGACCUGAAUGACGGAAAGUGCCACAGAAAAUAAACCGCCCCUGUAGUACACACAUUAUGCAGCAAUGCAGCAGAAUUGUGUUACUACAGGGGCAAGGGUGAAAACGUGGGGUAAGAGCUCACGAGCUUCCCGAGUGAUCGGGAUUUUGGUAAACCCCGGGAGUUGAAAGACCAAAUAGGCUAACAUUUCAAGUUCACUUGAAGUUAAUGGCUGCUCGCCAAACGUUAGUGGGUAGGUCGUUAGAGAUAAAUGGCAACAUUUAUACUAGAUUAAUGAUAGAAAUCCCAAUGCAAAUUGGGAUACAGAACCCGGCUUAUAGGCUUGCUUUUUUA
rnacentral:RNase_P_RNA from 1 species